GGUCCCUAUCCGUCGCAGGCGUAGGAAAUUUGAGAAGACCUGUCCUUAGUACGAGAGGACCGGGAUGGACGUACCUCUGGUGUACCAGUUGUUCUGCCAAGGGCAUGGCUGGGUAGCUAUGUACGGAAUGGAUAAGCGCUGAAAGCAUCUAAGCGCGAAGCCAACUUCAAGAUAAGAUUUCCCACCGCAAGGGUAAGACCCCAGAAAGACUAUCUGGUUGAUAGGUCGAAGGUGUAAGUGCAGCAAUGUAUUUAGCUUAUCGAUACUAAUAGGUCGAGGACUUGACCAAAUU
rnacentral:rRNA from 1 species